CUACGGCAUCCUGUUAUUGUAACUCUGCAUUAGCGGCCUCUGGUAAUGUCUAUUCACAUCAUAAUUACACUGCGUACAUCUAACGUUGACGUGCUACUAAACAAUUCCCAUCACGUCACCUAACGGCUUUUUCAGUGGGCCGCAGAGAAUUACUUGUUAUUCUGAAACGAGACCACAAUAGUGCUAACAGCGAUACACCAGCUAUACACCUUAGCAAAAUAACCAGUUGUCUCGCCUAACCUAGUGAAAAGGCAUGCGAAUUAGCAGCGGCGACGUUGCAUACCUUUAGUUAAGUUAUUUUUUCACUAGUAUUUCAGCUCCUAAACAUUUUGUAGGCUGCACUCUACACAUAACAUUUGCUGAAACGUGGGCGUGCUUGCUCGUAGGCUAUGGUACAUCGCAUAUUUAGUGUUCCUUAGUUGCCCCAAAUUUUCGAUGAAUUGAGAGUAAUAAUUGUAACCCCCGAGCUAAAUUAGUCGAUAAGGUGACAAAGUUUUUAUUAGAAAUGCAAACGUCUAAUUCAAUAAAUAAUAUAUAUACACAAAUUGUUUUCAGUAAUAAUUUGGGGCACAUAUAUGAAUCUACGAAUCGUACUCAGCUAGUGAGUUUGCAAGGCAUAUCUACUUGCAACAAAUCUUGAGGAUGGCACCGGUUUCGAGAUAUGCGCCGUCAAACUUGCGGUAAAAAUGCACUGUUCCAUUAAUUUUUUUAGGAAAGCAAAUCCUUAUGCAUUUCAGCAUAAGAGAAACUGGAACGCCAAAGCAUUUCGUCUAGAAUCUUGAAAAUAGUGUUUCGAAACAUGUAUAGUCUUGGUAAUUCUCUAUACAUCGACGCGCGUAGCGAACUCACUGGCUAUAAUCAGUAAAUUGAACCGUGCCGUAAAGUAGUUUAUUCAACAGGUAAAUUAGGGCAGUUAUGGUAAUUCUUCAAUUUAGCAUUUGCAUUUCGCGUGGAAGUAAUGGCCGCAUCUUCCAAUAAUUUACCUUAUGGCCUAGAAUUUUGCUACCAGCCAAAGAAUUUUCUUUUUCGUUUCACGCAGCUAAAAGAACACCUGAUAUUCAAGGCUUAAGGUGUGGAGUUGUGACGAUUUUUCUUGUAAUGGUGCUGAAGCGACAGUCUUCACUAACUGGUACCUGCGUCCAAUAUGUUUUAGGAAAAGCAAUGUUACGUUGGAGGUUGCGAUGCACCAACAAGGAAAGGCCGCCGAUAUAAAGAUCAAUCCCGGAGGACAACCACCUAAACACGUGUACCCAAAAUACGAAGUUUUGUAUGCUACACAACACUGCAUUAUUACCGGCAACGUGCCACAGCCAACGCUUAGAACAUACUGCACCUACUGGGUCAAGAAGAGCGAUGUGAAGAAUCGGCACUGGGCUUGUGACUUCAUAUUAGACCACUACUGCCGAAGCCCAGAAAUUGUCAUUAAGGAUACAAACAAUUGUUGGCCUGAAGGCAAUG